rnacentral:rRNA from 1 species
UACGUAGGGUGCGAGCGUUAAUCGGAAUUACUGGGCGUAAAGCGUGCGCAGGCGGUUUUGUAAGACAGAGGUGAAAUCCCCGGGCUCAACCUGGGAACUGCCUUUGUGACUGCAAGGCUUGAGUGCGGCAGAGGGGGAUGGAAUUCCGCGUGUAGCAGUGAAAUGCGUAGAGAUGCGGAGGAACACCGACGGCGAAGGCAGCCCCCUGGGCUAGCACUGACGCUCAGGCACGAAAGCGUGGGGAGCAAACAGG